GAUUCACUGUCCGAGUUGUAAUCUAGAGAAGUGUUGCUCACACUGGACCAUGUAUAAGUCUUCUGGAAUGAAGCGUCAUAGAGGGUGAGAAUCCCGUCUUUGACAUGGACUCCCAGUGUAUUUGUAGCAUGCUCUCAAAGAGUCGAGUUGUUUGGGAAUGCAGCUCUAAAUGGGUGGUAACCUCCAUCUAAAGCUAAAUAUUGGCGAGAGACCGAUAGUGAACAAGUACCGUGAGGGAAAGAUGAAAAGAACUUUGGAAAGAGAGUUAAAAAGUACGUGAAAUUGUUGAAAGGGAAACGCUUGAAGUCAGUCACAUUGGCCAGGGAUCAACUUGCUUCUAAGUGUACUUCCUGGUUGAUGGGCCAACAUCAGCUUUGACUGUCAGAGAAGGGCAAGGGGGAAUGUGGCACCCUCUUUGGGUGUGUUAUAGCCCUCUGUCGUAUAUGGCAGUUGGGGCUGAGGAAUGCAGCGCGCCACCAGGCCGGGCUUUAUGGCUACGUUCGCGCUUAGGAUGUUGGCAUAAUGGCUUUAAUCGACCCGUCUUGAAACACGGACCAAGGAGUCUAACAUGCCUGCGAGUGUUUGGGUGGAAAACCCGAGCGCAUAAUGAAAGUGAAAGUUGAGAUCCCUGUCAUGGGGUGCAUCGAUGCCCGGACCUGAGCUUUACAGCAAUGGCUCUGCGGUAUAGCAUGUAUGUUGGGACCCGAAAGAUGGUGAACUAUGCCUGAAUAGGGCGAAGCCAGAGGAAACUCUGGUGGAGGCUCGUAGCGAUUCUGACGUGCAAAUCGAUCGUCGAAUUUGGGUAUAGGGG
rnacentral:rRNA from 1 species